rnacentral:tRNA from 1 species
AGAAUUAUAGUUUAUUUAAUAAAAUUUUUAAUUUGCAUUUAAAAGAAAAUUUUUAAUUUAAUUUUA